ACGUGGAGUAAAUGAAACAGAGGACAACUGGUGAAGGGAUUGUUCUUUAUGUUGCCUGCUUCGUGUCUCCAUUUUUCUUUUUUUUUGUUCAUAAAA